ACGGAGGGUCCAAGCGUUAUCCGGAAUUAUUGGGUUUAAAGGGUCCGUAGGCGGGAGAUUAAGUCAGUGGUGAAAUCCUACAGCUCAACUGUGGAACUGCCAUUGAAACUGAUUUUCUUGAAUAUAGUUGAAGUGGGCGGAAUGUGUCAUGUAGCGGUGAAAUGCUUAGAGAUGACACAGAACACCGAUUGCGAAGGCAGCUCACUAACCUAUCAUUGACGCUGAGGGACGAAAGCGUGGGUAGCGAACAGG
rnacentral:rRNA from 1 species